CCUACGGGAGGCAGCAGUGAGGAAUAUUGGUCAAUGGCCGCAAGGCUGAACCAGCCAAGUCGCGUGAGGGAUGACGGUCCUAUGGAUUGUAAACCUCUUUUGUCAGGGAGCAAAGGGCGCCACGUGUGGCGCUUUGCGAGUACCUGAAGAAAAAGCAUCGGCUAACUCCGUGCCAGCAGCCGCGGUAAUACGGAGGAUGCGAGCGUUAUCCGGAUUUAUUGGGUUUAAAGGGUGCGCAGGCGGAAUGUAAAGUCAGCGGUAAAAUUUCGGGGCUCAACCCCGUCGUGCCGUUGAAACUGGGGUUCUUGAGUGAGCGAGAAGUAUGCGGAAUGCGUGGUGUAGCGGUGAAAUGCAUAGAUAUCACGCAGAACCCCGAUUGCGAAGGCAGCAUACCGGCGCUCAACUGACGCUGAUGCACGAAAGCGUGGGUAUCGAACAGGAUUAGAUACCCCUGUAGUC
rnacentral:rRNA from 1 species